GAUGAACGCUGGCGGCGUGCCUAAUACAUGCAAGUCGAGCGAACAGAUGAGGAGCUUGCUCCUCUGACGUUAGCGGCGGACGGGUGAGUAACACGUGGAUAACCUACCUAUAAGACUGGGAUAACUUCGGGAAACCGGAGCUAAUACCGGAUAAUAUAUUGAACCGCAUGGUUCAAUAGUGAAAGACGGUUUUGCUGUCACUUAUAGAUGGAUCCGCGCCGCAUUAGCUAGUUGGUAAGGUAACGGCUUACCAAGGCAACGAUGCGUAGCCGACCUGAGAGGGUGAUCGGCCACACGGGAACUGAGACACGGUCCAGACUCCUACGGGAGGCAGCGGUAGGGAAUCUUCGGCAAUGGGCGAAAGCCUGACGGAGCAACGCCGCGUGAGUGAUGAAGGUCUUCGGAUCGUAAAACUCUGUUAUUAGGGAAAAACAAAUGUGUAAGUAACUAUGCACGUCUUGACGGUACCUAAUCAGAAAGCCACGGCUAACUACGUG
rnacentral:rRNA from 1 species